UUAAUCGACACAAUUGGCAACUGAAACAAAACAUCAUCGAUGAUUAUGUCUUAACAUUAAACUUAGAUCUUAGAUUUGCUCAUAACACAGAAGCUCCCGGCAAAGAAGAGAAGCCAACUGCUGAAGCUUCUGGGUUUUCUAGUUAAUGGAAAAAGAGGCUAAGAAAGAAGCAUUUAGGAAGUAUCUUGAAUCCAGUGGAGUUGUUGAUGCUCUCACCAAAGUUUUGGUUGCAUUGUAUGAACAAAAUGAGAAACCAUCUUCAGCCCUUGAGUGAGUUUCAGAAUUCAAUCUUUCAAUUGAGUUUUUCAUGUCAUCUGUUCAAGUUUAUAUAUAUUCAGAUCUGUGUUUCAAACUAAAUUGACUAGUUUCACCCAAUUCUGUUUCAGAAGAAACAAGCAAUGUCUGAAACAUAUCUUAGGUGCUGUUUUAACUUUUAGCCGAAAAAAGAGUAUCAUC